rnacentral:rRNA from 1 species
UACGUAGGGGGCAAGCGUUGUCCGGAAUUAUUGGGCGUAAAGAGCUCGUAGGCGGUUUGUUGCGUCGGCUGUGAAAUCCCGAGGCUCAACCUCGGGUCUGCAGUCGAUACGAGCAAACUAGAGUGUUGCAGGGGAGACUGGAAUUCCUGGUGUAGCGGUGAAAUGCGCAGAUAUCAGGAGGAACACCGACGGCGAAGGCAGCACUCUGGGCCGGUACUGACGCUGGAGGAGCGAAAGCGUGGGGAGCAAACAGG